UCUUUAAUAAGCUAAAUAAAGCUGUUGGACUCAUAAUCCAAAAAUGACUAAAAACAUCUUAAAGAA
rnacentral:tRNA from 1 species